GCCCCCUUCGCCCCGCCCACCGCCGUUGCCAUGGCGGCGGCGCGGUCUGCUCGGAGCGGGCCGGGACGCCGCGCCCUGUGACCCCUCCCGGAGGCAGAGGAUGGCUGAGGUUGGAAAGCGCCUCCGGAGGUCAUGGAAUCCGCCCUCCUGCUCCCCUAGAGCGCGCUGUCCGGCACUGUGUCCAGGGAAGGAGAUUCCGUGGCCCUCUGCCGUCCGCCCCACACUGAGGCCUGAAAGAUUCCCCUUCCCAAGUGGCGCUGCGCGCACACUUCUGCUUUGCGUCCUUCCAGUCAAAGCUGUGUGACCCCCUGGGCUGCCUGUGACGGCCCGCUGUUCGGCGUCCCCCAGCCUUCCACCGAUGGCCAAAAGGCUCGAGAAAGCAGGAGCGUGCCCUGCCUGGGAGGAAGCACCAGAUAUUGAGAAUGAAAAGAAAGUGAAGCAUUCAGCUUUCCGAAGCAUUCAGCUCUGUGAAUAUACAUGAAUUAACCAGCACAGUGCAGGUAUAAUGGAAGGGCUUCCUGGUCAUUCUGGAGCAUCAGCAGCUGUACCUGGAUGUGAAUUGCACUGUGAUACAGAUAAGUUUUGCAUUAAUACUAUCCAUUUUUCAAUGUGUAAUGUUUUCAUAUUCAUACAAGUGAAGGGUUUAUGUUUUUGCUUGGUAUGUGUAACAGACACAUAUAACAGUUGCCUUAAAAACCUGUUGUUUGUCAAGAAAAAUUAGUUGAUCCGUUGAUCUGAAGUCACUCAUCUUGUUGAACCCAUUGCAAAGGGGCUCAGACUGAGGAAGCAGCUUCUGCCUCUUGCUGUACUGUUAGACUUGCUAGGUAAUUCUGGACACAUUGCUUAACCUUCCCAAAUCUGAGUUUAAUGAGCUGGAUAUGUACCACGCCAUAUGAUGCUUAUGCUCACGAAUAAAGCACUUGAGCUCUGUGAAUGAGAAGUGUUUCAGUUUGAGUUCUAAUCCUCCGUUCAUCAGUUGACAGAAUGCUUCCACUGUGUUUCCUUAUGUAGCGAGGUGUUCUCUGCUCUGAGAUAAACUUGCCUUUAUUUAGGAGACCUGAAGGAAAAACGAACAAACAAACAAAUGAUGCAUUUGCUAAUUUUUCUGAGAUUAAACAUUCAGUAGAACUCAACAAAUAUGUUUACUAGUUUAAUUGGAUUACAUUAAUAUACAUCCCCACAGCUUUUAUUACAUAAGCCCUUUUCUACCAGGGAUUUAGUCUAUUAGUUAAGGAAACCUGAGGGAUUAAUCUGAUAGCUGCAGUCAGAAAUUACAGUGUAAUUAAAGUCACCCAGGAAACAGUGAUACUGAAGUCUGCCAAUCCCUGCAAAACAAACUUGUCAAUUUUCUGCAUCUAGGAUAGCAUAUAAGGUGACACAUUAAAGGGGCACAAGUUCUGCACCAGAAAUAGGCCUGUUAAGGAGGAACUUGUGUACUGCACAGUGUAGCCAUCGCUGUUCUUGCUACCAACUACUGCUGUCUGUUUUUGAAUAGACUUUAAAGGUUUUGGUGUUUUAUUAAAGGUCAUGUACAGUGUGGGAGAGGAAGUAUAACACGGCUUGCACGGAAGUCUAUUUUAAAGCUUACUUUACUAAUUUAGUUGGACCGAGAUGUUACUUCAUGUCCAAAAGAAGAUAGAAAAUGCAAUGGCUGUAAAGAAGAAAGUUGCAGAGCACUGGAGCAGCCUUGUUAGUAGCAGGGAGAGACGUUUUGUCAUGGUCUGUACUUGUCAGUGUCAUUUGCUGCAAGCAGGGUAAUGGAGAGCAUGCAUCGGUGCAUGAGUGGAGGAGGAGAUCUGUUGUCUUCAUGAAUGGCAUCAAGGAACAGCACAGCAUUCCAGAAAUUCUGCAGAGUGUCAGUACUUGUGAUGUGUUUGAGCCAUUCUAAUAGCAUAAUAUACGCAGGAGAGAUUUAAUUUCACUAUAUCCAAAAUACACAGCAUUUGGUAUUUCUUUUGUUCUAUGAGACAUAAGUCUAAUGAUGCAUAUUCUAGUUAGUGCAACUUGCUAUCAAGGUUGUAAAGAAAUAAGCAACAAGAAGAAAAUAACGUAUGUAUUUUUUCUGUUGUCAGAGUAGACUUGUAUAUAUACUUCACAGCUUUGUCUUCUUGCUCUAAGUUGUAAAGUAACCUUCACAUAACAUUGUGUAAAUGGAAAAGUUCUCUGCCAGAAAGCUAAAGCCCAAUAUCUGUUGCUUGCAAAGCCACAGAGGGAACUACCCAUUGUUUCCUAGGAGGAGAUGGUGCAGCGACUUGCUGUGGCUUUAGCAAGAGGGCAAGGCUUUGUGAUAGAAGAUAAGCAAAGUAUGAUGACUUAAGUGGAGUGCUGAAGCUUUUACUGCAUCUGUCUUGUACAGUGUUGAAUAGAUUUUUAGGAACUUGCCAGUCAGGAGACCUGCCUUCGUGCUAAUGUGCAGACAUAGAGAAACUGCAUGAACAGAGGCAGGAAGCACUCAGAACAGAAAGGGAAAAUGAGCUACUGAUGCACACAGAGCUUUGCUUGGUAUAGCAGGCAAAGGAGGAUCCAGCAGGAACAGAAGAUAUCUCUUCUGUGCCUGAUCAGCCUGAGAAAAGUCCUUAACAAAACAAAGUGGCAGCCUGGAGAGUAUAAAACACAGGAAAUGAUGCAUUUCCAGUCCCACUUUUGCUUCUUUCUCAGCAGUCGCAGGGUGGGUGAGUAGGAGUUGCCUGUGCCAGCUCUGUGCAGCCUGGCAAAACUGGGGCCAGACCCGACGUUGUUGAGGCUGCUUCCACUUUUGUUUGUGAGGUGGAGGGAAGGACACCCUCUGUAAGUGUUGGUAUUAAUGCUUUUCUCUUAGUUAAUCUGUUUUGUUUGCUGCUGAGGCAUUUUACCUUCACCUCUAAAUUAUUUCAUUCUUCAUCAAAAUCCAAAGAAAACAGAGAUUCAAAGAAAGCACCCCUUAGAAUAGACUGAACGCUGAGUAUUAUUUGUAAGAUGUAUGAAACAGGAAACGGGAAGUUAGAAACAUUCAGGGAGUCGGUAUGCAUCCAAGUAGUCAAUGGUUCAGGGGGCAGAUAAACCAACACACCCCCACCCAGCACUGCAUGGCUACACCACCAGCAUUCAGGAAUUCUGACCUUUGCUAAAUCUUUAAUAUCUUUGGUUAUCAAACCCAAACUCGCUCACAUGCCAGAAGCAGUGUGGUACUGGGUAACCAUGUAGGUAAUUUUCAUGCUCAGAGAAGACAGCUCAUUUGUCAAACUGCGUCAGGUGAGAGUGCUCAGCAGGCCUGAAUUUCUGCAGAGAAAAAGGACCGGAUUCUCCUCCCUGUUGGCACCACCCAGUCUGAGUCAUACAGGCUGGAAGCAGUAGUACAGCUGCCAAACUUCCUCACCUAGAUCACGCUAUCUGCUAUAGGCUGCACUGGGAUUAUUGAGUGAGGUGUUUGGGUGUAGAAUUAAAAUACGUUGAGCACAGGAUUGUACUGUUGGGGAUUUUUCCACAAUGUUUCUUCUCCAGGAAAUGUUUUUCCUCUCUAGCAUUGCAGGGUAACAGUGUAAACGUUUGUUUUUGUUGGUUCAUUGCCAGACAAACGUAAGAACAUGUUGUAAAAGUCACAUUUUGCUGGAUUUCGUUUUAGAAUAGUAGAACUGUAGAAUGGCUUAAGUCAGAGGGAACCUUAAAGAUCAUCUAGCUUCAACUCCUCUGCCAUGGGCUGGCUGCCCCCACCAGCUCAGGGUGCCCAGGGCCCAUCCAACCCGGCCUUGGGCACCUCCAGGAAUGGGGCACCCACAGCUCUGGGCAGCAGUGCCAGGGCCUCACCAUCCCCUAAGCAAAGAAUUUCUUUGUAACAUCUAACCUAAAUCUCCCCUCUUUUAGUUUAAAUUCCGUGUAGAAUUUCAAGUGUGUUUGGCACCUGCCAUUCCAAAUACAGACAAAGUUAUAUGAUAGAACUCAGACUUUGUAAAUCGUAAUGGAUUUUGAUCACAGGAUAUGAUGCUACUUGGUCACAACAGCCCAGAUCCCUGUAGGACACAUACUUCCAUUGAUUUCACUGGAAGUUAGGGGCCACAGAGAACUCUGUGGUUCUUUUCCUACCAGCUGAAGUCAAUGAAACCACCUUUUGAAAAUGGGGUUCCAGAUAUUACAGUCUAGCAGACAAAGCUGGCUUAUCCCACAUUAAAUGUCACCUCUGAGAACGGAAUUUAAGUGAUGAUGGCGUAGUGGAAGUCUAAGACAGAGCCAAGGCCAGAGUGUAAAUUAUCUGAUGCCCAGCCCAAUGCAUGAACCACAGUGCUGAUGUUUGAUUACUGUGAGGUUGGAUACUGACUCUAUAAACAACAACUGCAGUUUUCAAAACUUACCCGCAGCAAAUGCAGAACCCUGCCUUGACAUGGUUUUCUGAUGGUAGAACUCUGCUUGCUGAAGUCUAUUUACACCUCAAAUUUUCCAAAAACAAGACUUCAAUUCCUCAUUGCUGUGAAGCAAGCAUUACUUUUAACAAAUUACUUAAUUGCUUUUCUAGCCAUUUCUUUUCCUGCAUUUCUUAAUUGAGUUUGUAUAGAAUAUUUCUACAUGAAUGAGUGCCUGAGGCAAGAUGAGGUCUGAGCAGAAACCUGUAUCUUGGUUUCCUAGUCAGUGGGAUGCAGGAGAGCCUACUGUGCUUCUGUUUAGGGAUAAGAACUUGGUUAAAGGCAUGCAACCCAACUCAUGUUUCCUUGUGCUUGCUUACAAGGAGAAUAUCAAGGUCUCAGACUGGAUAAUGAUGCAGAAAUGCACACUGACAGCGGUCCCAAUAGCCGGGCUCAUGGAAAGAAAGUCUCAGAUGUGAAUGAAGGAUGUGAGGCUGCAGCCAAAUUGAUUAGAAGCAAAGAACUCUCAGACAUCUGAAGUGUGCAAAGCAUAAAGCUGUCCUCUAAUUUCCCAGUUUUGGCAGUUUUGUUGCCACUUGAAGGUAAAGCUGGUAUUAAUCACUGGGGGGAAAAUGCAACCCUGCUCUCUUUGAUCUUUCCUCCUUUAAUCAACAGUUUCUAAGUGCAAUAAGACAUUUCAGAUGUUGCCAAUGUAUUUUUAUCUGGCAAUUGUUCAAUGCGUAUCCUAAAAUGGAGAGGUGCAUCUGCUGAAACACAGCAUGGUGCUUCUGGAGGAGGAAACCAUCUCCUUUCUGGCUUUGCACUGUUCAUUGGUCUGACAGCCUUGGAUAUCCAUGGAAAUGUAACUGUUCCUAAGAUGAAUCCUACACGUUGCACAGUUGCUCUGCUUCCUGUAACUCAUCUAAAUAUUGGUGACUAAUUAUUCUUGAGGAAACAUCCUUUCUCUGUGGAGUUAGCUUUGCAAGCAAAAGGACAUUAGAAGCAGCACCCUGACCAGGUCACUAGCCAGCCAGGAGAGAGCAGGGAUUGCAGGCAGGAGGUGGCAGCCUCGAGUAGCAGCACACUGCUUUCUCUGCUCAGCUAUGCUCAGACCUGAAUGCUAACAGGAGCAGGGUACAAACAGCUUGGGGUCUGGGUCCUUGCUUUAAGCACUGCAGCUUGAAGAUGGAAACCUAACUUUGUCCCUCGUGCCCACUAAUUAAAAACGUAGCUAAGCUGCUCUAUAGGUGCAGUGUUGGAGUUGUAUGGGUUUGCUCAGAAUUUUUAAUAUUUUGUUCAAUAUCUUCAGAGGGAAAGAAUGUAGCACUCUUUAUUUGAUCUGUCCCGUUCUCAUCUAGGUUUAUUUCUUCUUGCAAGGAAAAUUAUGUUGCAGACAAGAAUAAGUCCCCUCGAAAUACUGUAUUGUUUUGUUUGUGUGUCUAAUUCUUGAGCCCCAUCCUGCAAAGCUGAUGGUCCUCCAUGGCCUGGCUAUAGUCCACAAGGGGAUUUAUAAGGGAAUUUUGCCUCCCUCAUGAGCUACAACGAAGUAACGGCAAAUGAACCUACUUAGAUUAAAGAUGUCACUGACUGAAAUGUUCUAAUCAACAGAACCUUGCAAUUAUCCUCUCUCAGCAGAGAGGGGAACUUGAUGACAUCAUUGUUUUUUCCCUGUGAAAACGCUUAGUUGGAAAAAGACAAAAAAAGAUUCAAUGAAUCACAUGCAACAUCCCACUUGGAAUCUUUGAAUAAUCCCAAAGAGUGCCAUUCACUGCAACAAUCAAAAUGUAAGCCAAGAGAGUUCUGCAGCAUUGCUUUUUGCCCACUGGCCUUCAUCUGCAGAAGAUACAUCGGUGAGGUAAUAGUGGUCUUUCUAAUGCAAAAGAGUGAGGGACGAUUUGUUGAGCCACAUUCCCUGAAGAAAGAAGGCUUAUGUGCACAGAUUCUGUCUGGCCCAACAGCCAGCACUAGAACAUGGAAUCCCAUUGGGCAAUUCACUUCAGUAUGAAAAAGAGAAGACUCCAGUUUUCUGUCAGGACUGUCAGCUGAAGGGCUGAGCCUAACAGCUGUUCUGUGUAAGAGUUUGAACUCAACUAGCCGUAUUACUGGAAGAGGAGAAUGUGCCAAAAGGUGUUUUGCUCAAUGAAAAAGUGCAGUAAAUUUGAGCCGUAUCAGGUCUGUGCCGCUGGAGAAAUAUGCUUUCCUUUUUUAAAGUGUAUGGAAUCCUACAACUUCCUUUCUGUUUCUUGGUUUUCUUAACAUAACAGUGGCAGCAGCAUUGGCUUCUGUAGAAUGUCAAUAGAAGUUAUGCUUCAGAUCCAGAUGUGCAGAGGAAGAAGACUUUCCUUCCACAGCUCUGUGGGUCCUUCUAGCUGUUACAUACCGACCUGUCACAGAGGGGGUUCUGUGAGUCCUCCCUAAUUCAUAUUAAGCACAAUUGGGCAGAUUUUAUUAAGCAGUUUAAAAUCCUGUUCUGACAUACGGCAUCUGGUUUUGCAUCACUUGAAUUAGCAAUGCUCCCACAAGCUCUUCUCUUAGCACAUCUGAAGAGUGUUAACCCUAUCCACUGGCACUGCUAGAUGGAAAAGAAAUCAUCUGUAUGUGACCUGAAGCCCUGUUGCCAAUGCACAGGCAUAUAGCAUUGUGGACGUGGCUACAGCCUGUACAGAAGAGAAUAUAAUUCUAUUUGGAGGGCUUGACUAUUCAAGCUCUGUGAACAGGAAGAAAAGGGCUGACUCAUAUAACAAGCCAACGUCAAUGAGCAGAAUCACAUUUUAAAUGAGGUCACUUAAACAAGUGGUUUCUUAUACUGAGAAAAAUUACAGGUAGAUUGAAAUGGUGUGUUUAAAGUACUGCUUGGUGGUUGGGGGCACUAAGGAAUCUAUUCCAAGUGUGGAAAAAAGCCUUCACCACAUAUGCACUGGAGGUCUUAAGAAGAAGGGAUAGUUGGAGUGUAAGGGAUAAUCUUGAGCUGUGAAUGGCAUGAGCAAACAUUUAGGGAAGCCUAGCUCUGUAUGGUAGGAAAGUCUCAGGGAGAUGAGCCAGUACAUCUGUGAGCAAUGGAAUCAGCGAAGCCUGGUUUCCAAUGGGUAUGUGUCCCAUUCUGGGCUCUUUCACAUCUAAUCCGGUGCAAGAUGUGAUCCAAGCUUUUCCCGUGGCCUGGAUGGUCUUUGUGUCUGUCGUAGGACAUCGUCUAGUGAGUAGGGAUUUGGUACAUCUUUUCCCAUGGUUGGAAGUGCUGUUUGGGUCUCUUCUUCCCAGUUGGCUGCCCAUGUCUGCUAAACUUGCAACAAAUUUCUAUCUUGAAUUCUUUACUUUGCUUAGAAAUUUAUUUGAAAAGCACACAUUGGAUUCAAAAGUUAUUUAAAGGGGAAGUGAAAACAGGAGAAUAUGCACUCAUACACCAAAUGCAACGGCAUAGGCCUUUUGCCUUAAGAAAUUGAAACGUUAGAAGAAGGUAUUUCUGCCUACAGAUAUGGUGGUUUCCAGCACUGGUGGUGAUGUCACUUCAGAUGAGGGGGAGAUGGGGAGAGGAGAGGGUUUGGAAUAGAAGGGGUGAAUGGAAGCAUCACUAAAACCUGCUUUCGCUCUGUGACCUUUGAAGUUGUUCCGUGCAGAGCUGGCAUACAAUAUUUCAACACUGUACUCUUGUGGUAGGUUCAUUUGUCAAUUUUUAUUUAUUUAUUUAUUUAUUUAUUUAUUUAUUUCAACUUAGUUAUUUACUGGGUGAGAAAAUGUAUAGUUAAAACCCAGAUUUAGUCUAAAUGUAUGUACAGAUUAACUUUUUUUAAUUGACUGUUUGUUAGGCUGGCAUUACUGGUAUGAUUUGUUUUGUUUAACCUGUUUGUCAUUCCAAAGUAAUAUAUAUUUUCUUUUCUAAGAGGAAUUUGCACUGGUAUGUAUGGGAACACAAAAUCCAAUACAAGUCUAUGAAACAAUCUACCCAAACGUGUAUCUAAAUCCAUUUGAAUAGGCACAUUUUGUGACCUGGAGAGAUUUUCUGUAGUUCCUAUCAACAUUUUUAUCAAAUCUUCAUUCCAGUAGGUCGGAACUCCGUUGUUACGCUGAUGCUAUGGCUAGCUUGAGAAAUAACCUUCCUUUUAUUUGAGAACCCGUAGCUGAAACGUGUGGUAGAGCUAGUCUGCUCUUUUGUCUAAGGAAGAAAAGAAAUGCCCAAUGGAAAUAGAAAGGGGAAAACUAUUGGAAGAGCUGUUAAAAACAAACAGCUGUAUGUUUUCCCCCUCUACCUUUGAAAAAUUCAAUUAGUUCCAAGCAUGGAUUUAAUCUGACGAAGUUAAUGUCUAUUCAUUUCUUUGAUAUCAUUUCUUACAUCAUUCUGUGAAAUAGAUUUCCGCGUUCAGUUCAUUAUCCAAUCAUUACUUUUCUGAUUCAAAUAACCAGUCAGCCUGCAGGGUACAAGCCCUGCUUUCAACAGUUGAAGUUGAUCAUAUUGGCCAAUACUGAGGUAGACAGACUGGGAUUCCCCUCUUUAAGGAAUUCAGGACAUCGUGAAAGCCACAAAGCGACUCCUUCACAACACUGAUACAGAUGGCAUGACUGGUGUGUUCAGCUGACUCUUGUCUGAGAGUGUUUGCAGGGUUGUAAACCAGCAGUAUCCUCCCUGUUUGGUCUGUGUUUGCACUGGCUUAGCCAACAUCAGAAUCUGCUCCAGGGAUAACAAAGGUAGCAGAGGUGGGGUUCUUUGGGGCUUGUUAGGCCGCUUUCCUGUAUUGGAUGUAGUGUUUGUUAGCAGAUUAGAACUGAACCUUGGGUAUCAUAAAUGAGUUGGCCGUGAGCCCCUGUGGGCAAGAAGUCCAGUGGUAUCCUGGGGUGCAUGAAAAAGAGAGCAGUCAGGCUCUUCUUGGUGGUGUGUAGCAAUAGAACAAGGAGUAAUGGCCUAAAACUUGAACGUAGGAAGUUCUGCACAAACAUGUGGAAGAACUUCCUUGUGGUAAGGAUGACAGAGCACUGGAACAGGCUGCCCGGAGAGGCUGUGGAGUCUCUUUCUAUGGAGAUAUACAAGACCUAUCUGUUCGCCAACCUGUGUGACCUAUUGUAGGGGACCUGCCUCAGCAGGGGGUUGGACUCAAUGAUCUCCUGAGGUCUGUUCCAACCCCUGUGAUUCUCCUUUAUGAGGGCUCAUGUUUUUUAAUUUAAUAAAUAUGAAAUAUUGUUCCUUGUUCGAAAGCUCACCUGUCAGGUUACACUCUUGUAAUUCCACUGCUUUAUAAUUGCAGUAUUCUUUCAGUAAGGUUCUUCUAUAUAAAAACAAGCUUGGGAAGAAAAGAGAAUAUCAUUUGAAGCCUCCUUUAAAUAUCCUGAGGAUUAAAUGUCCCUUUUGUGUUUAUAGUAACACUUUCUAUAGCGUGUGAAUGAGUAUUUUGGGGUAUUUGUUCUCAGCGCAGUGAAUGAACAAAAUGGUCCUCUUGAUUCUGUGAACAGAAGAAGUCUUUUUUUGUGUGUAACCUUGGCAGCAGACGUAAGUAUGCUCAUGGAUGAAGGAAAGACAAAUGAUUAUGGAAGCUAGAGACUGGGAGAGGACUUAGGAGAUAUAUCACAACGUGUUUAUUCUGCCCUUAACAUUCUUCCCUCUAUGCUAAGUAUAUUAGAAGCGUUGUCUGGAUCGUGGAAAACAAGGUUUAUUCACAAAAGCCACACAGUGUGUGAUCCUGGUGCCCCAGAGCACAGACCACAUCCACAUCAGUCAGUGUUCUUCUUACCACGCUCAGUGUAAGUCCCAGCAUCUCAGAUCACCUUUUCCAGUAACGCUUUUGGCAUUCCUUGUGUCUCCCUGUAGAUCAAGCCAAAAGUAAGCUUUACACCACUACAGCAAGCCAAGCAAGGGACUGACAGCUUAGCAAUGCCUUGAACGUCGUCACAUGCAACUUGCAGUGGCAAAGUGGUACUUAACAACUCUAUUUUCAUAGUACCUUGCUGCGUCUCUGUGGGUCAUUCAUAUCUAAUAAAAUAUACACACUGUUGGAGAUGGGAUUCUGAGCUCAGCAGCCUUUCAGUGUGACCAACUACACUGUUCAUAUGUAGAUGUAACAGUUAUUUUAGGUGAGUCCGUUCUGCAAUGUAGACACUGGCUAGUCCAUUAUUGUGAAGGAAACGGAAUGGACAGAGCAUUUAAUUGAUUAAUUACCCUAUGUUCAAAAUGCAGUCAGAUCAGGGUGAGAAUGAAGCCAGUAGGGAAAAAUGAUGGCUCUUUCAAAAAGUAUAAAGAAUAUUGUCAGUUUAACAUAGUAAGUGCUGCUUAAGAGUAUUUCCCAGAUCACAGUAGAGAUUUUUACUCUUUGCUCUCAUGCCCUGAAAUAUAACCUCAUCGUUCUGACCAAUAUGUGGCAGUCAUUUAGCAAUACGUCUGCUUGGGGAUGUUACUGGGGCUGUUAACAAAGUUAGCAAAAAGCUUGUCAUUUAACUUCUUGAAGCCAGGCUAAAGAUUUAGUGCCAAUGCAGGGGACAUCUGCUUUUUUUCUGGUCAAAAUGAAUAGACUGAAUUACAGAGACAAUAAAGAUGGAGUCUCAUGAUGCUAUUGUACACUGCUUUGCUUUUCAUUUUGAAGAGAACUCACAAGUAAUGGACAAAAUCAAAUGAAUCACCCCCUAUAUUUCAGCCAUCUUGUCUCAGCAAAUGGGCAGCAGUCAACAAGGAGAAGCAGGAACUUCAGAAAAUGAUUUGUUCUAUUUAUUUUAGAUACCCAUUUCAGGAUAGAGGAACUCAUCCCUCAGAAGGAGGAAGGCAUACAUACUGUCUCGUAUGUGCAGCUGUCUUGCUUAGCUUCUAAAUGAAUUCUACUCUAACUAGCCUACCUAACCUGUUUUUGCUACUGGAAUCAGAUGGAAAUACAGUCAGUAUUUGCAAAUGCAAAGCUCCACAGAAAUAGAAUGUAUCAUUCUAUAUUUCACCCUGCUUCACAGAGAGCCAGGGAAGGCUUUUUUUCAUCUACCCACUGAGAACAAAGUGCUGAUUUGGCUCUAUGGUUCUUGGAAACUGUCUUUGCUCUGCUAUUUCCUGUUACAUUCUCAAGCUGCGUAUUUUAGAUGUGAAUGAGGACCAACCCCCCAUCUCUUUUUGCUUGUAGCAGUAUGACAUGAUGCCUUGGACAGAUGUAGAUGGGUGUUUCUUGCCAGUAAAAAAAAAAAAAAAAAAGAAGUGGAAAAUGAAAGCACGGCAGAAAGUUUAGUUCUGGGGGUUCACUCCUCACUGUGUAUGGUAAACCAUGGCAACACCUUCAGUAGUGCUGACCUUGCCUGACAUGCUCUGCAGAGGCUGCACACCAAUUCCCAUCCCCUGGGAAGACCUUUGACGCUUUGCAGGAUUGUUAUUUGUUUCAUCCUCAGACACACGUUACACUGGCAGACCAAGGCAGCGAGUGCUUGCUUUGGUAGCAUUGGCAGGGGCUCUGAGCAUCUCCUUUCACAGCUCUGUGCUGCAGCCUGACAUCGUGAAGCUGCCUGCAGGCCAGGCAGACAUUUCCAAACAGCAUUCCUGGCAGCACAAACAGACAAUUAAAUUUAAAGACGAGGCAUUGCCACCAUUCAUUUGAAUGACUGUGGUGCUUCAGCAUAUUGCUAGUGUUUGUUGACAUAUGUAAUUUAUAGAAUUUGGUUUGUGUGUGGUGGGAAGAGGAAAUAUAUCAGUGCGGUGAUCUGACACCUCGUCUACGUUGGUGGCCUUAUUUCAUACCUUUUUGCAUGCCAAAUGGAAUGAAGUGCUCUCAGAAUCUGUAGAUGACCUGGCAGGAGCUGAAUGAGUGUCCUUAAAACCAUUUGUACUGUUGUACCUUUGUGUUUUCUGUUUUGUGACCUUGGCAGACCAGUGAUUGGGAAAGCUGCUCACACACCAUCUGCACCUGCUACUUUUGCCGUGCAGCAAGUGGUCAUUUCCUUUCCAAACAUGACUGGCUUCUGAUAGCAGUGGGAAAUUGGCAGCUCUUGUAUGAAAGCAGUAGAUUCCAGUUUCUUCUUUCGGCUUUUCACUGAGAUAGAACAGGAGUUGUUAUGGUUAUGUCCCCAGUGCUCUGUGUCACAGCUUUCUUUUCUACAUAACUGCCUUUUCAAUCAUUAAGUACAAUCAGUAUAUGGAAUCACAUCUUGUAUUGUAUAAUACCAUAUUACCCUGAGAUCUUUUUUUUUUUCCAGUAUCAUCUUAAUUCUAAACAGAGAUGCACAACCGACAGUGAAAAUGUUUCCCUUUUGUCUCGUGGCCUUUCUUUCUCAUUUCCAUGAGAAGAAGAGAGUGCAGAAUAAAGUUGCUCUCUUGACUUCCGUGGUCUGGCUAAAGAAACAACAUAGCAGGAGUGAGCUGUGCUUUUCUCCUUAUUUCUCUGGCACAUUGAAAAGAUGAGGUGUAGGAGUGUUCAUUGCUCUUCUAAUUCUCUCCUCCAGAGGGGAUGGAAGCUGUUGCAAUUCUUCCUUAUGAGGGUCCUUAAAAUCAGCAGGUAAGGAAGUACUGUGUUGAGCAGCACGCAGGCAAUCCCCCCAUCUCCAGCCUCAAGGAUCACCCCUGCAGAGAGCUGGGAAGGAGCUGUGCAGCUGGCAGAGAGCGCCAGGAGGUGGUGAAUUUAGUUUCUACUCUUAACAGCAUGAAACAGCUGCAUUGGCUUUACGUGUGGUUCGAAGAUUUGCCCUCUCUGAAAGUUAGGGCAAGUUGUUUGUGGCAUACAGUGUGCGCCUUAACAAAUGUGCAGUCUUUUUCUUCCUGUCAGCAACUGGAGAUGGUGAUAGGAUCACAUGUUUUUGCCCACGCUUUCAUGUAGCCUUGUUAAUGAAACAGGUAAUCCUGUUUGUCUUAAAAUCAAGGCAAACAUCUCUCAUGUUCUGUCCAUCUGUUCCAGACACUAACAGCACGCUCAUCACCAUGGUAUUGGAACAGUCUGGUACACAAAUAGCAAUCAGCAGCUAUUAGCAUAAUAUUAUUACUAGAUCCAUAAAGCUAAUAUUGGCAGAGAUAGGAGGUGUCGCACGUUGUGAGCUAGUUUCUCAGCACAUGUACCGUGUUCUGCCAGAAUGUGAUAAUAUUCUGUAUAAAAAUCAGUAGAAGGAUGCAAUUUUUAAUUAUUUCAUGCAAGCAGCAUAAAUUGUCCAUAUAAUACAAGUCAAUGAUUUCUUCUUGCAUUCAGUAAUUGGCAAUCCAUUGCUGUCUCGUAGUAAAACAGCAUUCUUUAGAAAGCUAAGUGUAUAAACAGGAGGGGGGGAACGGCUGUUUGUGAGGGUGGAUAGUGAUAGGACAAGGGGGAAUGGCUUUAAACUGAGACAGGGGAGGUUUAGCUUGGAUAUUAGGAGGAAGGUUUUCACCCAGAGGGUGGUGACGCACUGAACGGGUUGCCCAAGGAGGCUGUGGAUGCCCCAUCCUUGCAGACAUUCAAGGCCAGGCUGGAUGUGGCUCUGGGCAGCCUGGUCUGCUGGUUGGCGACCCUGCACAUAGCAGGGGGGUUGGAACUCAGUGAUCACUGUGGCCCUUUUCAACCCAGGCCAUUCUAUGAUUCUAUGAUAUUAAAUCAAACACUGAAAACUCCUUUUUUCCAUCCUCCUACCCCCCGGUCAUUGAUGCAGGCUGAUACAGGAGCGAAUCUUUGCAUGCAGGAGGUCACUCAUCCCAAAUGUCCAGCACAUGAGACAAGGUGUACUCAGCAUGAGAUCUUCUGGAGUACUGCUGGAGAGGUGGCACAUCACUGCAGCUUGCCAGAUAACUGUCACGCUGUGUCUGCACACACUCCCAGUGCUUUCUGAAAGGAGUGAAAAUUGCUUUCUGCUUUGCCGGCCCACAGAAAGAACACAGAUCUUUCAGAUCCAACAUUUUCAGACCUCAGACCUCAAACCUUUCAGAUUACAAGGGAAGCAGAUUGCAGAUCCCUCCAAAAGAUCCCGACUGCCCCAUAAAACGCAGCCAUUCUCUUCCUGUCCUUACACCCCUUCACUAAUCUAAUUUACACACAUUCAGAAGCCCAGCUUCAGAUGUGUCCUUUUCAUUUGGUCUCUUUUCCUAUGAUGUAAUAUAAGAUUUAUUUUGGAGUUGAACAGCCACACUUUUUCAAUCUCUGGUAUAUAAAUUGCUAGUUAAAAGAAGUGGAUUCCUCUCAGGUGGCAGAUUUUUGCAGGUCUGCUUCAAUGAAUGGCUCGUGUAUAUGUGUGUAUAUAUAUAUGUAUGUUUCUUUCCUCUCUUAGUCAGAAUUUGUUCCUGGGAGACCUAUUUUGCAAGCUUGUCUGCUGAAACUUCUGUAGAGAAGAAAGCAGACGGAGCCUUUUCAGAUUGCAGCUUCCCAGUUGCUGUGUUGAAAGCAUGAAGCAAAAGUGAAACCGAGGUAUUACAGUUCUUAGUUCUCAUAAACGGCUUUUCCUUGCUUUGCUCUGCAGCAAAUUCCAGCUGAGCUAACAUUUCUGUUAGCAUGACAAUGCCCAUACGUGCACUGCUGUAAUGAGAGGGAGCAUCUGUGUCUGAGCUGGUUGUGAUUGUGUUGAAAAGAGACAGAUUGUCAUCGUGUGUCAGUCCUUACUCUUCCACUGAACAUGAAACUUCCUUGGUCGUGCUGUUGGUUCAGUCUCCAGUCUCCAUUUUCAUAUCA
rnacentral:lncRNA from 1 species